AGUAUGGUUGAUCGUAUUACAAUCUUUACCAUAAAUGCACAGAUAACUUUUGCCACUGUCGUAGCUUCUUCAAAAUGUUUUACCUGCUAUUUUUACAAGAAGCGUCCCAUGUAAGUUUUACCAGCAUGUCCACAAGUUAACUGUAAGAAUCAAAUUCUUCUGCAGCACUCUAGGGCCACAGGAAUUGAACCAAAAUAAAUUUGAAUUACAGCUAAUAUUUCCCACCUACUAAGGACUUGUGAGAUCACUGUACGCUACACUUGAUCGAGAAUUAGAAAGAACUAUCACAAUCUUAAACAAGGAAUGCUUGGGAAAUGGGAACCAUAUCCCUACAACUUUACGCAAGGAAUCACAGUAAGUAGGAUUUGCAUUUCUAUUUGUACGCAAGGAAUAGAAGUAAAUUUGUAGAGGACUUCAAGAAUCUUGAAAGCGAGCAAAGAUUAUCUAUUGAGUCAAAUGGAAAGGUGCAAGUUUAAGCUGGUGUUUGAGAAGCCUUAUUGGCAUUUGUGUAAUGUAAAAUAGAUCUGUCAAUCUACACUUAGUAUUUGUAAGGCCUCUAGAUUUACUUGUCAACCCUUGAAAAAGAUUCAUGGGAAUGAAGGAGGAAUUGUUUAUUCACCAGGAAAGUUCAUCCCAAUGGAGUUGGUACUAUCUUGCAUAUGUUGUUUCAUUAGCAAUGAGCGAGAUGCUUUUGAUAUGGGAGCCAAAGACAACAUCAAAUCUAUAAUGGAAGGGGAAGGGAGAUGUGUACUUAUGGACAAUACUGGGAUACUUGAAAACAGGGGAAGGGAGAUGUGUACUUCUGGACAAUACUGGGAUACUUGGAAACAGGUUUUUAGCAUUUAGUCAAAUUGCUUGUAUUGUGGCUGUUUGGCAUACAAAUCACUGUGUACCAUGGUUCCCAUUUAUUUUUUAUGAGUCUAUGUGAACAUAUGUCUCUGUUGUGCAAGAACAUUGAAGAAUUGGAAGUACUUUUUUGGUUUUCUAUAACAAAUGUGACCUUGAUAGCAUU